UACGUAGGGGGCAAGCGUUAUCCGGAAUCAUUGGGCGUAAAGCGCGUGUAGGCGGCUCGGUAAGUCUGCUGUGAAAGUCCAGGGCUCAACCCUGGGAUGCCGGUGGAUACUGUCGAGCUCGAGUCCGGAAGAGGCGAGUGGAAUUCCUGGUGUAGCGGUGAAAUGCGCAGAUAUCAGGAGGAACACCAAUGGCGAAGGCAGCUCGCUGGGACGUGACUGACGCUGAGACGCGAAAGCGUGGGGAGCAAACAGG
rnacentral:rRNA from 1 species